CCGUAAGGUGGAGCUAAUCCCUUAAAGCUACUCUCAGUUCGGAUUGUAGGCUGAAACUCGCCUACAUGAAGCUGGAGUUACUAGUAAUCGCAGAUCAGAAUGCUGCGGUGAAUGCGUUCCCGGGUCUUGUACACACCGCCCGUCACACCACGGGAGUUGGAGACGCCCGAAGCCGAUUAUCUAACCUUUUGGAAGAAGUCGUCGAAGGUGGAAUCAAUAACUGGGGUGAAGUCGUAACAAGGUAGCCGUAUCGGAAGGUGCGGCUGGAUC
rnacentral:rRNA from 1 species